UACAGAGGUCCCAAGCGUUGUUCGGAUUCACUGGGCGUAAAGGGUGCGUAGGCGGUCGGGUAAGUCUGAUGUGAAAUCUCACAGCUCAACUGUGAAACUGCAUUGGAUACUAUUCGGCUUGAGGUCUGGAGAGGAGACUGGAAUUUACGGUGUAGCAGUGAAAUGCGUAGAUAUCGGAAAGAACACCAACGGCGAAAGCACUCUGCUGGGCCGACACUGACACUGAGAGACGAAAGCUAGGGGAGCGAAUGGG
rnacentral:rRNA from 1 species